AUGCAUCUAUUUGACAAGAACCUCCAAGCACUUGCUAAUCUGCUGCUGAGGUUUCUUAUUAUGGAUGCAAGAAAAAAAGUCCUCGCGCUUUCUGCCUGUCUGAUUGUGCAGCUCAGAUUGAAUGGGGGAGUACAGGA
rnacentral:snoRNA from 1 species